rnacentral:rRNA from 1 species
GAUGAACGCUGGCGGCGUGCCUAAUACAUGCAAGUCGAGCGAACGGACGAGAAGCUUGCUUCUCUGAUGUUAGCGGCGGACGGGUGAGUAACACGUGGAUAACCUACCUAUAAGACUGGGAUAACUUCGGGAAACCGGAGCUAAUACCGGAUAAUAUUUUGAACCGCAUGGUUCAAAAGUGAAAGACGGUCUUGCUGUCACUUAUAGAUGGAUCCGCGCUGCAUUAGCUAGUUGGUAAGGUAACGGCUUACCAAGGCAACGAUGCAUAGCCGACCUGAGAGGGUGAUCGGCCACACUGGAACUGAGACACGGUCCAGACUCCUACGGGAGGCAGCAGUAGGGAAUCUUCCGCAAUGGGCGAAAGCCUGACGGAGCCACGCCGCGUGAGUGAUGAAGGUCUUCGGAUCGUAAAGCUCUGUUAUUAGGGAAGAACAUAUGUGUAAGUAACUGUGCACAUCUUGACGGUACCUAAUCAGAAAGCCACGGCUAACUACGUG